rnacentral:rRNA from 1 species
GUGUCAGCCGCCGCGGUAAUACGUAGGGUGCGAGCGUUAAUCGGAAUUACUGGGCGUAAAGCGUGCGCAGGCGGUUUUGUAAGACAGGCGUGAAAUCCCCGGGCUCAACCUGGGAACUGCGCUUGUGACUGCAAGGCUAGAUUACGGCAGAGGGGGGUGGAAUUCCACGUGUAGCAGUGAAAUGCGUAGAUAUGCGGAGGAACACCGAUGGCGAAGGCAAUCCCCUGGGCCUGCACGGACGCUCAUGCGCGAAAGCGUGGGGAGCAAACAGGAUUAGAUACCCGGGUAUGCCACACCGUAA